GACGAACGCUGGCGGCGUGCUUAACACAUGCAAUUCGAACGAUGAAGCCGGAGCUUGCUCCGGUGGAUUAGUGGCGAACGGGUGAGUAACACGUGAGCAAUCUGCCCUUGACUCUGGAUAACUGCGGGAAACUGUAGCUAAUACCGGAUACUUUCACUGGAAGGCCUCUACUGCUGAAGAAAGAAUUUCGGUCAAGGAUGAGCUCGCGGCCUAUCAGAUGGUUGGUGAGGUAACGGCUCACCAAGACGACGACGGGUAGCCGGCCUGGUAGGGUGACCGGCCACACUGGGACUGAGACACGGCCCAGACUCCUACGGGAGGCAGCAGUGGGGAAUAUUGCACAAUGGGCGCAAGCCUGAUGCAGCAACGCCGCGUGAGGGAUGAAGGCCUUCGGGUUGUAACCCUCUUUUAGCAGGGAAGAAGCGAAAGUGACGGUACCUGCAGAAAAAGCACCGGCUAACUACGUGCCAGCCGCCGCCGUAA
rnacentral:rRNA from 1 species